UACAGAGGGUGCAAGCGUUGUUCGGAAUUACUGGGCGUAAAGGGCGUGUAGGCGGUUUAGCAAGUCAGAUGUGAAAGCCCGGGGCUUAACCCCGGAAGUGCAUUUGAAACUGCUAGGCUAGAGUGUGGUAGAGGAUGGUGGAAUUCCCAGUGGAGAGGUGAAAUUCGUAGAUAUUGGGAGGAACACCGGUGGCGAAGGCGGCCAUCUGGGCCACAACUGACGCUGAGGCGCGAAAGCGUGGGUAGCAAACAGG
rnacentral:rRNA from 1 species